rnacentral:rRNA from 1 species
AGGAUAAACGCUGGCGGCGUGCCUAACACAUGCAAGUCGAACGCGCUUUCGGGCUUCGGUGCGAGAGCGAGUGGCGGACGGGUGAGUAACACAUGGGUACCUACCUUGGAGUGAGGGAUACCGGCGAGAAAUCGCCGACAAUACCGCAUAGGCUUCUUCACAAGGGAAGCAAAGUGACGCGAGUCACGCUGUGAGAUGGGCCUGUGGCCGAUUAGCUAGUUGGGGGGGUAACGGCUUCCCAAGGCGACGAUCGGUAGCUGGUCUGAGAGGACGAUCAGCCACACUGGGAUUGAGAACGGCCCAGACUCCUACGGGGGGCAGCAGUGAGGAAUUUUCCGCAAUGGAGGCAACUCUGACGGAGCAACGCCGCGUGCAGGAGGAAGGUUUUCGGAUCGUAAACUGCUUUUCGUCGGGGACGAGCAAGGACGGUACCCGAGGAAGAGCCCGGCUAACUACGCGCCAGCAGCCGC